rnacentral:tRNA from 1 species
GGUGGCUCAGUGGUAGAGUGCUUGCCUUGCAUGCACGAGGUCCUGGGUUUGAUCCUCAGCACCA